rnacentral:pre_miRNA from 1 species
UCUUGUGGAUGAGCAAAGAAAGUGGUUUCUUGAGAUGGAAUCUACUCCUGUUGAAGAUGCUAUGAA